GGAAGGCCUUUGGGUUGUAAACCUCUUUUCUCAGGGAAGAAGAUCUGACGGUACCUGAGGAAUAAGCAUCGGCUAACUCCGUGCCAGCAGCCGCGGUAAUACGGAGGAUGCAAGCGUUAUCCGGAAUUAUUGGGCGUAAAGCGUCCGCAGGUGGUCUUUCAAGUCUGCUGUCAAAGACCAGAGCUUAACUCUGGGCAGGCGGUGGAAACUGAGAGACUAGAGUUCGGUAGGGGUAGCGGGAAUUCCCAGUGUGGCGGUGAAAUGCGUAGAUAUUGGGAAGAACAUCGGUGGCGAAGGCGUG
rnacentral:rRNA from 1 species